rnacentral:rRNA from 1 species
UUGGAGGGCAAGUCUGGUGCCAGCAGCCGCGGUAAUUCCAGCUCCAAUAGCGUAUAUUAAAGUUGUUGCAGUUAAAAAGCUCGUAGUUGAAUUUCGGGGUUCUACCGUUGGUCGGGCAAUUGUCUGUACUGGCGUGUGGAAUUUCUACCUUCUGGGGAACCAUCAUGUUAUUAAUUUAGCGUGGUGGGAAACCAGGACCUUUACCUUGAAAAAAUUAGAGUGUUCAAAGCAGGCUUACGUCUGAAUACAUUAGCAUGGAAUAAUAAAAUAGGACGGUGGUCCUGUUUUGUUGGUUUCUGAAUCACCGUAAUGAUUAAUAGGGAUAGUUGGGGGCAUUAGUAUUCAAUUGUCAGAGGUGAAAUUCUUGGAUUUAUUGAAGACUAACUUCUGCGAAAGCAUUUGCCAAGGAUGUUUUCAUUAAUCAAGAACGAAAGUUAGGGGAUCGAAGACGAUCAGAUACCGUCGUAGUCUUAACCAUAAACUAUGCCGACUAGGGAUCGGACGAUGUUAAUUUUUCUUGACUCGUUCGGCGCCUUACGGGAAACCAAAGUGUUUGGGUUC